GACUCAGACCCCAUUUAUAACCAGAGGCUCCAAUAUCCUAUCAGACUGUCGGCAAUACCCAGACCCCAAUUAUAACCAGAGGCCUCAAUAUCAUAUCAGUCAACAACACACCCUGGGCCUCCUUAUCUCGGGAGGAAGGCGUACUUCUCUCUCUCUCUCUCGCUCUCUCGCUCUCUCGCUCUCUCGCGCUCUCUCUCUCUCUGUGUUUGGCCAGCUGGUGAGAGCACAAACCUUUCUGCAAAACAGGUCACCUACAGGAGACAAAUCAUAAUUUUGAGGGGACCAGGAGAGCUUUCAUCUCUCCAAAAAUCGCCAAUUCACCCACGAACUCCUGUAAUGUCGUGGAACGAAGAUAAAUAACGGCCAGCUUGUUCUCUCUGUUGAAGUGUUGAGCGGAUCGAGCUCCCGCGACACACACGCACACACAGCUCGGGCGUUCCCGCGACUCCUCAGCCGCCAACGGAAGGGUGGCAGGAGAGAGGAGAGAGGAGGAGGAGAAGGGGGGAGAGGAGGGAGAGGAGGGGAGGAAACCCGACUGUUUUGAAGCUAUACGCCAGUAAACAUAGACUAUAAGCAUACACAGUGAACGAAGAGGAAACCGUCGCAGUGCUAUUUUAUUUCAGUGUGGAUGAAACUAGGAUGAGAGAGACGCCAAAGGAGAGAGACGCCAUCGGUGACAAGAUAAAGGACUCCGCUGUUGGGAUGGCUGAGGUUUCACAGCAGGAGAGAAUUCAGGCCAUCGCUGAGAACCCUGUUACCCUGGUCUUCAUGGGCUAUACAGCUCUGGAGGGUGAGACAGCAGGGGAGGUGGGGGAGGCAGGGGGGACAGAGGGUGGAGACGGCUCAGUCAAGGCGGAGUUUGUGAUGCUACCAGACGGGGAGGGGAAGAGGGUAGGAGAGGGGGAGACGGAGACCCAGGCAGCAGCCAAUGGGAGUACGGGUGAGAAGGGGGAGGCAAAUGGGGGAGGAGGGGAGGAGGGGGAGAAGGAAAAGAAACCGAGUUGCAAGUGUUGCACAGUCAUGUGAGUGUGUGUGCGUGUGCGUGUGCGUGCGUGCGCGUGCGUGCGUGCGUGCGUGCGUGUGUGCGUGCGUGCGUGUGUGUGUGUGUGUGUGUGUCUGUCUGUGUGUGUGUGUCAAAGAAAGAUGCUUGUGUGUGUGUGUGUGAGUGUGUCAGAGCAAGAGAGACUUGAGUGCGUACGUGUAUGUGUGUCUGAUCACACACUUCACAGGACUACAAAACCAAACAGUCCGACUCCUCCUGCCAAGCAGCAAAAACUACAGCCAACACCAACCAUAUACAGCCAACAGACACUGGAGAAUCAAUACUACUGUAUUACUGUAGUAGUACUACAACAACAACCUACAGCCAGGACAAUAUACACUAGACUAUGUAUUACUCUAGUACUACAAUAACAACCUACAGCCAGGACAAUAUACACUAGACUAUGUACUACUCUAGUACUACAAUAACAACCUACAGCCAGGACAAUAUACACUAGACUAUGUACUACUCUAGUACUACAAUAACAACCUACAGCCAGGACAAUAUACACUAGACUAUGUACUACUCUAGUACUACAAUAACAACCUACAGCCAGGACAAUAUACACUAGACUAUG
rnacentral:lncRNA from 13 species